UGCAGUCGAACGAUGAUCCCAGCUUGCUGGGGGAUUAGUGGCGAACGGGUGAGUAACACGUGAGUAACCUGCCCUUGACUCUGGGAUAAGCCUGGGAAACUGGGUCUAAUACCGGAUACGACCAUCUGGCGCAUGUCAUGGUGGUGGAAAGCUUUUGUGGUUUUGGAUGGACUCGCGGCCUAUCAGCUUGUUGGUGGGGUAAUGGCCUACCAAGGCGACGACGGGUAGCCGGCCUGAGAGGGUGACCGGCCACACUGGGACUGAGACACGGCCCAGACUCCUACGGGAGGCAGCAGUGGGGAAUAUUGCACAAUGGGCGCAAGCCUGAUGCAGCGACGCCGCGUGAGGGAUGACGGCCUUCGGGUUGUAAACCUCUUUCAGUAGGGAAGAAGCGAAAGUGACGGUACCUGCAGAAGAAGCGCCGGCUAACUACGUGCCAGCAGCCGCGGUAAUACGUAGGGCGCAAGCGUUAUCCGGAAUUAUUGGGCGUAAAGAGCUCGUAGGCGGUUUGUCGCGUCUGCUGUGAAAGACCGGGGCUCAACUCCGGUUCUGCAGUGGGUACGGGCAGACUAGAGUGCAGUAGGGGAGACUGGAAUUCCUGGUGUAGCGGUGAAAUGCGCAGAUAUCAGGAGGAACACCGAUGGCGAAGGCAGGUCUCUGGGCUGUAACUGACGCUGAGGAGCGAAAGCAUGGGGAGCGAACAGGAUUAGAUACCCUGGUAGUCCAUGCCGUAAACGUUGGGCACUA
rnacentral:rRNA from 1 species